CUGGUCUUGAAUUCCUGGCCUCAAGUGUUCCUCCCGCCUCAGACUCGCAAAGUGCUGGGAUUACAGGCAGAAGUCACUGCUCCAGGCCACAUUAUUUUUAUGAUUAUUAUGAUUAAUACUUUUAAAUAGUUGUACUUUGGGUUCUUGGGAACCCAGAGAAAUAACAUUCUUCACAAAGUUAGUUCAAAGGAUUUUUUAAAGCUUAGUGCUACCGUUCUAAAUGACUUUUUAAAAGAAAAGCAUUCAGUAUUUUAAGAAACAUAUAAAUUGAAUUUUGUGAUUAUCUGAAUCGGUGUUUUAGUUAGCAAUGUAAUGAGAGUAAAAGUAACUAAACAUUAAACUUUCUAAUAGAUUUCAGUUCAAUACUAAUACUACAGGGUUGAUGCUUGCAUUUCUUAGAAAGAGCAGGAAAAUAAAUAUAUAUGUAUAUUUAAUUAUAAACAGAAGGCAGAGUUAGUUUACAACAUUUAAAAAAAAUCUAGAUUGCAUACUUUAAUUUUCACCAUGCAAAAAGUUGGAACUUGUAACUUCCAAUGAGUCAAUCUUUGGCUAUUUUUCACAAUCCACAAGUCCAUGGUUUUUCUAUAAAAUAAGCACUAGUAAUAAAAAUCACAGGACACUAUUUAAUAUGUUUGGUUGUAUUAUAAUAUUGAGAAUAAUUGGAGGAUAAAAUACUUUCUUUUAAAAC
rnacentral:lncRNA from 10 species